GUUCAAUUUUAUUUGAAAAAGAUGAGGUUUUGUUUUGUCUGAGAAAAUCUCACUGUUUUAGACUGAGG
rnacentral:pre_miRNA from 10 species